UACGUAGGGGGCGAGCGUUGUCCGGAUUUAUUGGGCGUAAAGAGCGUGUAGGCGGCCAGGUAGGUCUGCUGUGAAAACUCGAGGCUCAACCUCGAGACGUCGGCGGAAACCAUCUGGCUAGAGUCCGGAAGAGGAGAGUGGAAUUCCUGGUGUAGCGGUGAAAUGCGCAGAUAUCAGGAAGAACACCAACGGCGAAGGCAGCUCGCUAGGACGGUACUGACGCUGAGACGCGAAAGCGUGGGGAGCGAACAGG
rnacentral:rRNA from 1 species